rnacentral:sRNA from 1 species
AGUCCUGCUCCCACCCGCUCCCUGGAGAGCAGGCGGCCAGACACCCAGGUCAGUGCUCAGGGACCAGCUCUUGGCCCCUGCCUCUUGCAGGCGCUCGCAUGUGGCUCCUCUCGGACCCCGUAGUCCCUCUGUCAUAUCCCUUCUCUCCAGCUGUCCCCAUGCCUGCCUCCUACCCCUCCUAUUUGCUCUCCCUUCCACUCUGUCUUGCCUUUCUCGCUGGGGUGAAAAAGUCUUAUUCUCUUAAGCAUCUUUCAUCACUCUGGGUUUCACCUCAUUGACCCUGUUUGUCUCCUCUCAGUGUUUCUCUGGCUCUCAGACCGUAUCUCUAUUGCGUUUGUGAUUGUUUUGCUGUUGUUACCCACUGCACCGUAUGGUGGUGGGGGGCGGGGGGGUGUGUCUUUCAGUCUUUGCAUGUCUGUUUCUGCAUAUCCAAUCCCACUAUCCAUUCCCCUUCCUGUGCCUUCUUUUCCCCCAAAGCCCGUUAUCAUCACCCAACCCCCUGUGUAUUUCAAUCCUUUCUCUUGUUUACCUAUUCCUGUGAAGGCAAGGAUUUGGGGCUAUUUUGUCUCCUGCUGUGUUUGUUAGGCCUAGCACCGUGAUUGGCACAUAGAGGGUACUGAAUACUUACUGGGGAAUAAAUGAUUGGAUGUUUGCAUGCCCGGGUUUCCAGCCCCCUCCGGGAUGCUGGCCUCUGUCCCGCAUCCUCAAGGUCUGCCCACACCUGUCUGAGCCUGUCUGUCUCUGGUGCUCCUGUCUCACCUGCCACUGCCCCUCAUUGUCUCCUCCUGUCCACAGCCCCUGCCCCUCCCUGCCCCUGCCAUGGGGUCCUGAACUCUCACCCCUUCUCUCCUCCCUUCCCACAGAGGUUGGACCAGGAGCUGACCGGGAGCUGGGGCCACAGGCCUAGGAGCACCCUGGUCAGGGCUAAGGCCAUGGCCCCGCCCCCACCGCCACUGGCUGCCAGCACCCCGCUCCUCCAUGGCGAGUUUGGCUCCUACCCAGCCCGAGGCCCACGCUUUGCCCUCACCCUCACAUCGCAGGCCCUGCACAUACAGCGGCUGCGCCCCAAACCCGAAGCCAGGCCCCGGGGUGGCCUGGUCCCGUUGGCCGAGGUCUCAGGCUGCUGCACCCUGCGAAGCCGCAGCCCCUCAGACUCAGCGGCCUACUUCUGCAUCUACACCUACCCUCGGGGCCGGCGCGGGGCCCGGCGCAGAGCCACUCGCACCUUCCGGGCAGAUGGGGCCGCCACCUACGAAGAAAACCGUGCCGAGGCCCAGCGCUGGGCCACCGCCCUCACCUGUCUGCUCCGAGGACUGCCACUGCCCGGGGAUGGGGGUGAGGCGCUGGGCAGCUGCUCUGUCCUGGGGCCACCUUGGUGUCUCUGCAGAAUUUCCUCCAUAGGCAGCUGUGUCUUUAUUUUUCUGUGUCUGGGUGAUGUAUCUGUCUGGAUCCGUUAGGAGUGAUACACAGGGAUGGGCUACAGAAGAAACACAAAGACAAGAGGGCCGGAUGUGGUGGCUCAUGUCUGUAAUCCUAGCACUUUGGAGGCUGAGGUGGGCGGAUCACCUGAGGUCAGGAGUUCGAGACCAGCCUGGCUAACCCCAUGUCUACUAAAAAUACAAAAAAUUAGCCAGGUGUGGUGCCACGCACCUGUAAUCCCAGCUACAGGAGGGUGAGGCAGGAGAAUCGCUUGAACCCAGGAGGCAGAGGUUGCAGAGAGCCGAGAUCGCGCCAUUGCACUCCAGCUUGGGCAACAAGAGCAAAACUCUGUCUC